rnacentral:snRNA from 1 species
GUGCUCGUUUUGGCAGCACAUAUACUAAAAUUGGAACGAUACAGAGAAGAUUAGCAUGGCCCCUGUGCAAGGAUGACAUGCAAAUUCGUGAAGCAUUCCAUAUUUUA